GAUGGCUGAGAAUUUCCAUUUCAAAAGGAAUGGACCUGCAGUGUUGAGCAGCGACCGUCUCUUAGUAGGUGCGCAAACUGCAAGCAGCGCUAUUUCAUGGAAUUACCCCACUAGUAUAUACGCUGACCAUUUUCUUAAUUGAAUUCGAAGAAUCGGCCGAUCGUAGCACCACUGCGAAGCGGUGUUCCACACAUUGCUGCUCCUGCUAAAUGUGUAAAUUGUAAAUCAAUACUACUUACAACAUGAACAAAAGAACAAGUCACAAACUA